rnacentral:tRNA from 1 species
UCUAAUAUGGCAGAUUAGUGCAAUGGAUUUAAACCCCGUAAAUAAAGUAGCCUUUUUUUAGAA